GUGCUCGCUUCGGCAGCACAUAUACUAAAAUUGGAACGAUACAGAGAAGAUUAGCAUGGCCCUAGAAAAUUUUUUUAAAAAAUUAAAAAAAGAAAGAACGUUCCU